GUUUUAAUAAUUUAAUGAAAAUAUUGGUCUUGUAAACCAAAACUAAGGCUCUUCCUUUUAAAACU
rnacentral:tRNA from 1 species